rnacentral:lncRNA from 1 species
GUAAUAGCAACGUUUUGAGGGUAGUGUUGGAUUUGCAAAAAGAGGGCAAUUGUGUGAUAAACUGAUGCAACUUGCAUCUGAAUAAAUUGAAAAACAGUACAAAAAACUGAUUUUGAUGGAGGACUAAGAUUUGCAGUGAUGACUUGAGACUGCAUUAGAAAGUUUAUGAGAUGAUUCGAUGGAUAGUGUGAACAAGGUUGGUAUACUGGUAUGGGUUGGAACUGGGCUGGGUUGUUUUACUCUUUUCUUCUUUGAGCGUUGUGUCUAGACAUGGUGAGGCUUUGCCACCGUCAGAGAUAGAGUUCAAUCCACUAAAACAGGUGGAACCUUUCAAAGCUGAUAAGCUGAUGGAAUUUACAAGUCUGAUUUGAAACUGAAGAAAGACUUGCACAUAAUUGAAGAUUGACCCGUUUCCCCUUUUAUUUAUGAUCCA